rnacentral:rRNA from 1 species
CUUCGAGACAGGAUUAGCAAUUUAUUACAAAUGCGUCUUCGUAGCGAUAGGAAAACAGAGGAGGGAAAGUGAGAAGUGAUGGCGAGCGGCGGACGGCAGAGUAACGCGUAGGAACAUACCCAAACUGAGGGAUAACUGCUCGAAAGAGUAGCUAAUACCGCAUGUGGUCUUCGGAUUAAAGCUUCGGCGGUUUGGGAAUGGCCUGCGUCCGAUUAGCUUGUUGGUGAGGUAAAAGCUCACCAAGGCGACGAUCGGUAGCUGGUCUGAGAGGAUGAUCAGCCUGACUGGAACUGAGAACGGUCCAGACUCCUACGGGAGGCAGCAGUAGGGAAUUUUCCACAAUGGGCGAAAGCCUGAUGGAGCAACGCCGCGUGCAGGAUGAAUGCCUUCGGGUUGUAAACUGCUUUUAUUAGUGAAGAAUAUGACGGUAACUAAUGAAUAAGGGUCGGCUAACUACGUG